rnacentral:tRNA from 1 species
GUGCCUAUAGCUCAGUUGGUUAGAGCACCACCUUGACAUGGUGGGGGUCGGUGGUUCGAGUCCACUUAGGCACACCA